rnacentral:rRNA from 1 species
GGGUCAGUAGGUUGGUCGUGCCACCGGUACGUACUGGUCUCACUGAUUCCUCCUUCCUGAAGAACCGUAAUGCCAUUAAUUUGGUGUUGCGGGGAAACAGGACUGUUACUUUGAAAAAAUUAGAGUGUUUAAAGCAAGCUAACGCUUGAAUACAUUAGCAUGGAAUAAUGAAAGAGGACGAUCGAUCCUAUUUUGUUGGUUUCUAGGAUUGACGUA